rnacentral:rRNA from 1 species
GACGAACGCUGGCGGCGUGCCUAAUACAUGCAAGUCGAACGCAGUGGGGACGGGUGAGUAACACGUGGGUAACCUCCCAUCAGAGGGGAUAAACCUUGGAAACAGGUGCUAAACCGAUACUGAUGGAUGAACCCGCGGUGCAUUAGCUCGUUGGGGAGGUAACGGCUCACCAAGGCCACGAUGCUUAGCCGGCCUGAGAGGGUGAUCGGCCACACUGGGACUGAGACACGGCCCAGACGCCUACGGGAGGCAGCAGUAGGGAAUCUUCGGCAAUGGGCGAAAGUCUGACCGAGCAACGCCGCGUGAGUGAAGAAGGUUUUCGGAUCGUAAAACUCUGUUGUUGGAGAGGCGUUAUCUAACCAGAAAGCAACGGCUAACUACGUGCCAGCAGCCGCGGUAAUAC